CCUACGGGAGGCAGCAGUAGGGAAUAUUGCUCAAUGGUGGAAACCCUGAAGCAGCAACGCCGCGUGGGGGAUGAAGGUAUUAGGAUUGUUAACUCCUUUUGUUAGAGAAGAUUAUGCCGGUAUCUAACGAAUAAGCACCGUCUAACUCCGUGCAAGAGGCCGCGGUAAUACGGAGGGUGCAAGCGUUACUCGGAAUCACUGGGCGUAAAGCGUGCGUAGGCGGGGUAAUAGGUCAGAUGUGAAAUCCUGUAGCUUAACUACAGAACUGCAUUUGAAACUGGUACUCUGGAGUGUGGGAGAGGUAGGUGGAAUUCUUGGUGUAGGGGUAAAAUCCGUAGAGAUCAAGAGGAAUACUCAUUGCGAAGGCGACCUGCUGGAACAUUACUGACGCUGAUGCACGAAAGCGUGGGUAGCGAACAGGAUUAGAUACCCUUGUAGUC
rnacentral:rRNA from 1 species